UGACCUCAGGUGAUUCACCCGCAUUGGCCGCCCAAAGUGUUAGGAUUACAGGCAUGAGCCACCACGCCCGGCCCAAUAUUUCUAACCUGCGGCUCAAUAUUUCUAACGUGAAAGAAACGCGAAGUAUAAGGCAAAGGAUCUUAACCCACAAGGUGAAAUCAACAAAUGGCCAGUUCUCCUGGAUCCAUGGCUCCAGGGAUGGAGGAUGCUGCAGGAGACACAAGCCUUGCUUCCCAGCUGAGGACUGUGGGUCAUCUCAGGGCCACUUCACAGUCCCAGCAUGCCCCAGCUCUCAGCUCUGCAAAUACCAAGCAGCCUGCCUAGGCUUCCCAGGGCCUGGUUCUGUAAGUUCACUGCAGAUCUGAGCCAUACCUGAGCAGAUCUGGGAUUGGGAACACACUCUCCUCCUGUGAAAGGCAGCCAAGGAUUCCACCUUGGUGAAGGGGAGAGUAGGGCAGAGCCAGGCGGGACACAGACUGAUCACCUGGAGAAAGUCGCCAUCAGCAGCCUUGGCGCAGGGGCAGGCCCAGCAGUGCCUUCUCCUGGAUUUCCCCUGAGCAGGCCUCUGCCAUGAGGGCACGCUUCCUUCUGCCUGUCCAUGGCCCACAGCGAAGGACUGGUGCUCCU